UUCAGUUACUUUUUAACUCAACUGUGAGAGUGUGGUAUGUCUGCCCUGAUUCCUGUGUAGUUUCAGUGUGCAUAUAUUCACUUACUACCAACCUUUUACAUCUUUUGAUAUCCAAAAAGGUCUCCUAUUCAUCUCAAACUUGUUACUUUGCAACAGCGAUGGCAGAUUGUGUGCUUGUGUAUCUACUUUUUGUGUGUGGAGUCUUUCGAACAGAUGGAGCAGCAGUGAUCCAAACACAGCAGACUGUGCUGGCAGCAGUGGGAGAAGAUGCUGAAUUCAGCUGUCAGCUCUUGGAGACUAAAGACGUCCGUCAGGUCACAUGGCAGAAAAUCUCUCCUGAUGUUCAGGAAAAUGUUGCCACCUACAACAAGUACUUUGGUCAGAGAGUGAAUGAUGGCUUUACAGAUAAAGUUAAGUUUAAACAUACUGGACUACAGAACUGCUCCAUAGUCAUCAGGAAUGUAACAGAGCAGGAUGAAAGAUGCUAUCGCUGUUUGUUUAACACUUAUCCUGAAGGAGCCUUCACAGGUAGAACCUGCCUCCAAGUCUAUGAGCUGCAUGAACCUGUUGUUGAUGUCAGAGAGUCAAACUCUACUGAAGAGUGGGUUGUUUCCUGUUCAGCCACUGGUCGACCUGCUCCCACUGUAACACUCAGUGUCUCACAACAAGACCUCAACUUCUCACAGUACAACACUGUCAGUGUGUCCAACACCAACGCUACAUUCACUGUCACCACUACAGCUGUGCUCUCAGGUUCACAUAAACACAGCACACAGGUGGGAUGUGCAGCACGAGUGCUCUCUGCUCCUCACAGAGAGGUGAUGGUGACGAUUCCUGAGGUCCAACAGACACCUGAUGAUGAUGAUGAUGGUAAUUAUGAGGAUGAUUACACCUGGAUCAUUGUAUCAGCUACAGUAGCAGGACUGAUGGUCUCUGUCUUAGUUGUAGUUAUCGCUGUGAACAAAAAGAUGAGAACAGGGAGAAGAUGUCACAAUAAUCAGCCAAUGACAUUAAUGAGUAAUGCAGUUUGAUAAUUAUGCAUAUUCUGUGUAUUUAUUCAUCCAUUCUGUGCAAGAUCUAAGUAUAAAUUUUCCUACCUCAGCUUACUACAUGUUUAGCAACACAAAGCCACAAACAUCUACACACAGACUAUGAUUAGCAGAUGUUUGCUUGCUAGUUGCUCCCAAACCUGUGUACCUCUUUCAGUAUUAAUGGUUCCUUAUAUUAUGAUAUUUAUGCAUACAAUACUAUUUUUUGAUCAAAGGUUUGAUCAAUUUGUGUUACAGUAAGAUCCAAAAAGAUAAAUUUCAGUGCUGUUAUUUUUGUCCUAUUGUUUUAACCAUGUUCAGCAGUAUCUUACCACUAGUUCACUACUAAGAAUUUUGGUGUCUUUCCUUAUCAGUUAUUUAAAUAAUUACUUGGCUUGACCCAAAAAACAAAAACAAACUAACAAAAAAAACGACAAAGUUGAUGAUGACAUAUCACAUUCAUUCUUUCACUUGCUCUGCAGCAGCUUGUGAGCUGUUUCUUCUGACUAUUUUAAGUCGAGAGACAUUUGACGUGCAUUAGAAGAGCCUUCCUCAAAUCGUCAGGUCUGCUGAAUAUGGUUUGUUUUAACUCAUUGUUUAAUUGAUCCUUUUCAUGAACAUGGUUUACAGAUUUUAUCAUUGUGGAUGUGUUUCACACACACACACAGAAGUAUUUUAAGUUUAUGUGCAAUAAUGCUGCUGAUGUUAAUCCGUAUUUUUGUUUUUAAAACGCUAAUAUUGUUUUUGCAUUUUGUAAAAUAUGAAUCAUGUGUUUAUUUGUUUGUUUCCUGAUCAUCAAUUCUUUCCUGUCCACACAGUUUAUGUGGUGACUUUAAAAAAUGAGAAAAUCACACUAAUUGUCUCAGUGAACUGACAUGUCAUUAUAGAUCGAGUAAAUAAAACCGCAAUAAUUAAAAGCUUAAACAAGA